GAUGAUAAGCUCAGUUGGGAGAGCAGCAGACUGAGGUUCUGAAGGUCGCCUGUUCGAACCAGGCUCAUGGCA
rnacentral:tRNA from 1 species